GAACACUUGACUAAAGGUGGCAAAGAAGAAACGUUAAGAGAAAAGACACUUCUGAGGUGCUAAACAGACCUUUGGAGGUAAAUUAGCAGCAUAACUAAGUCAGCCAUUGCUGUCGGUCAUCUUCAGACAAGU
ensembl:snoRNA